AUCUCCUACCCUUUAUAAUACCCCCUUCUCUUCUAUUCACAACGCCCCUUCUAUUGUAUUCUCUUGCUAAUUGUUCACCAAGAACUUUUGUUCCCUCCCAAUUUCUAUUGUCGUAAGAAAACCAUGGCCGAAGCUUUGCUCAUCCCUGCAGCCAAGGGAAUUCUGAUUGGGUUGGUUUCCCUAGCAACAAAUCAGAUUAACGAUCAGAUUAACUUGGCACGGGGUUUCAAGCAAGACCUCAAAAAGCUCCGUGAAAGGUUAGAAAUCAUUCAGGCCUUGUUACAUGAUGCUGAGAAGAAGAAAAUAACAUCAGAAGCUAUGAUUGCGUGGCUAAAGAAACUCAAGACUGCAAUCUGCGAUGCUGAGAAUGUGCUGGAUGAAUUGGCUUAUGAAGAUCUUCGAGAAAAGAUUGAGGUACAAAACCGGAUGAGGAACAAGGUGCGCAAUUUUUUCUCCCACUCUAAUCCAUUGGCGUUUCGUUUCAAGAUGGUUGAUAAGGUCAGUAACAUCAAUAAACUGUUAGACAGAGUAUGUAAAGCAGCAAAUGAUGUUGGUCUUAAACCAGCAGAGCAACUCAAUGAUGCCAUUGUUGAACCUAGGGAAUUCAGAAAGACUCUACCUUUUGUAGGUGAUACAGAAAUUGUGGGGAGGGAUGGUGAUGUUAAGGUGGUGGUUGAUAUGUUGCUUGGCAAUGACGUAGGACGUGAUUUACCUGUCAUUGCCAUUGUAGGAAUGCCUGGGCUAGGCAAGACUACUGCGGCUCGGGUAGUUUACAAACAACCGAAAGUUUUGGAGAAUUUUCGUGAUAAUAGAAUGUGGAUUUGUGUAUCUGACAAUUUCAACAUCGUAAGGUUACUGAAUGAGAUGGUAGAAUCUCUUACAGGUGAUAAAUCUGAUGCAAAAAAUGGGGAAGGAUUAGUGAGAAAGCUUAGAGAAAAAAUAGAUGGAAAAAAAUACUUGCUUGUAUUAGAUGACGUCUGGAAUACGAAUCCAGACUUAUGGGUAGACCUGAAAAAUUCUCUGAUAGAAAUAGGCGACUCUAAGGAAAGCAAAAUUUUAGUUACUACCCGUAGCAUGGACGUCGUAUCAGCAAUGCGAACAUCCCCGUCUUGCACCCAUCAAUUGACGCAGCUGUCGGACGAUGAUUGUUUGACGAUAUUUAGGACAAAAGCAUUUGACGUUGGUGGACCAAGGGAAACUCAAAGAUUAUUGGAUAUUGGUAGAAGAAUGGUGGAAAAGUGCAAGGGUGUGCCGUUAGCAGUAAACGCAUUAGGAGGUUUACUGUACUCGAAACAUGAUGAACAAGAAUGGGAGUCCAUUGAGAAGAGUGAAAUGUGGAGUUUACUGGGAAAUGACGAUGGAAUUCUACCAGUAUUGAGGCUUAGUUUUGACCACUUACCAUCACCAUCUUUGAAAAGUUCUUUUGCAUACUGUUCUAUUUUUCCAAAGGAUCAAGUCAUUAUAAAGGAUGACUUGAUUCAACUUUGGAUGGGUCUAGGAUAUCUUCAACUUUCUUCAAGAAGCGAGGAGGAAAUGGAAGAGUUAGGCAAUAAGUAUUUUGUAACUUUAUUACGCAAUUCGUUAUUCCAGGAAGUGGAAUUCGAUGAGUACAACAAUAUCACAAGUUGCAAGAUGCAUGAUCUUGUUCAUGAUCUUGCACUCCAUGUCUCACAGGGUACUUGUUUAACUCUGGAUGCUAGUGAGGUGAAGAAUUAUCCCGAUGUUGAACAUUUGUCAUUGAUUUUUACAAAAGAAACACGAUUAGAUAUGUCAAAAGAAAAUGUUGGAAAACUAAGGACACUAUUUUUAGAAGGACAUCUCCCCCAGAACACCAAUGACUUUAAGUGUAUACGUGCCCUGCGUUGUCUCGAAGAAUCUUCUAUGAAAGAAGAAUCUUAUGCAGAAGAGUUGUCUUGUUCAAUACGCAAGUCCAUACAUUUAAGGUUUCUUGACCUCACGAAGACUCCUAUUGUGAAAGUCCCAAAGUUUAUCACCAAGCUCUACCAUUUGGAAACACUGAAACUACCAUAUAAUAUAAGAGAGCUUCCACAAGAUUUUUGUAAUUUGGCUAGCUUGAGACAUUUUUUUCUUGGAGAGAUAAAUCUACUUGAGAGAUUCAUGGAGCUCCCGAGAGAUUUUUAUAUUCUAGAAACAGAUCGAAAGAGGAAAUUGAUGACAAUGAAUAUAGGGCAAUUGAAAUAUUUGCAAACAUUACCAUUCUUUGUUGUGGGCAAGGGGAGCGGCCAUAGAAUUGAAGAGUUAGGUAGCUUAAGCAAGCUAAGAGGUAGAUUACAUGUUUAUGAUCUACAGCACGUGAAAGACAAGGAAGAAGCAGAGAAUGCUCAAAUAUUAGGAAAAUCAGACAUUAAGGAGAUGCAAUUUCACUGGGACGAAAUCCUCGAAGAGCCUGAAAAUAACCAUGGGGAUGUGUUGGAAGGACUCAAACCACACUGGAACUUUAAGGGACUAAGUAUUAGAAACUUUGGAGGAAGAAGAUGGGCGUCGUGGAUGAGCAGAGAUGAUUGCUCACUUCAAAAGCUAGUGAAGAUCGAGCUAAUGAACUGUUGGUUGUGUGAGCAAGUCCCAACGCUCGGACACCUUCCGCAUCUUGCAAUUGUCAAAAUGGGUGGCUUGAAUAACUUGAAGUGUAUUGGUCACGAAUUUUAUGGACAGGACGAAUGCAUUAUCGAUAAUUGCAAUCGUAGUGAGGCAACAGCUCCAGGAAUAUUUCCAACACUGAGUGAAUUAAGACUUGUUGAUAUGCCUCAACUAGAAGAAUGGUCAGACGUAUCGCCAUCGCACGCUUCUGCCGCGAGCAUGAUAAAAUCCUUCCCUUGUCUUCAGAUUUUAGAAAUUGAAGAGUGCCCCAAGUUGAUAGCCAUUCCAGCAACAUUCAAUGGCUCGACAUCCCUUCAACGACUUUCAAUUAACGGGUGCACGGAGUUGACGUAUUUGCCAGAAGGGGUGCUACAACCAACCCUUGUAAAAAUAAGCAUAGACAAUUGCCCAAUCUUAAAAAAGCUCAAUUCAAUUGAUGAAACAGAAGCAGCAGCAUUCAACGGCUCGACAUCCCUUCAACAACUUUCGAUUCGCGGAUGCCCGGAGUUGAUGUGUUUACCGAAAGGGCUGCUACAACCAACCCUUGAAGAUAUAAUCAUAUCUUGGUGUCCGAAGUUAGAGACACCCAAUCCAGAUGCAUUACGCAGCCUCACAUCCCUUAAGCAACUGGAGAUUAGAGACUGUCCAAAUUGGGGGAGGGGUUGGGAGGAGGGGUUGUUUUGCACCACCACCGUUAGAAUAUUGUCUUUAGGUGAUUUCGGAGAUGAGUAUAUAAAACUACCCUGGCCCUCGACAAUUGCUCCAUCACCACCAUGGAGCCAUCUCACCUCCGUGAAGAAUCUAAGAUUAUAUGGAUGGCCAGAGGUCAAGUCUCUCCCUGAUCAACUUGAGCACCUCCCUGCCUUGAUAGAUUUCAUAAUUCGAGGGUUCAGUGGGUUGGAAUCUCUGCCGGAGUGCCUGCGCAACCUUUCAUCCCUUAAAUAUUUGGGUAUAUUUGAUUGUCCCCUUCUGGAGAAAAGAUGCGAAAAGGGAAUUGGCGAAGAUUGGCACAAGAUUGCUCAUAUUCCACGCAUUUAUAUAGACAAUAGGAAAAUACAGGGGAGCUGAAGUGUAACAUCUCCUUACAGAUGAAGAAUGAAACUCCCCUAUGAAUCAUCAAUUCUAGAUGUUUUUGAUUCCCGAGUCUUCGAGACGGGGCGAUAUACUAAGUCUGACAAACUCAUGGCUCCAGAGCUUUACCAAUUUCCACGCCUUGAUGCAAGCUUCUAUCAUCCCGUCCUAUCUCCACUUAAGAGAGUCGUAAGUGGGAAAACUAUUAAAGAUCUUCAAAGAAUCAGGUUUCUCUCAUUCACAGGUUCUGUGGACCGAUGGAUGCGAAAUGGAGUUUCUGAAAGGCCAUUGAAGUGUUGCCAAGGAGAUUGGAGGCUUGAAUAGUGAUAAUUUUUUUUUUGAAAAAGUCAGAAUUCGCUUGCUCCUUCCGGCCGGGAGUCACAGGCGUCCGCUGGGGCCCUUGAGGAAGUUGAUGCUGAGCCCACCGGAAGAUUGUUUUGGACGGUGGUCGUGCCCGUCCUGACAUUCAACGCAUGUUCUGUUUUACUUUUUGAUUUCUCAAGUAUUUUUAGGCCCAGUAGCUAUAAGUGGGCAAUUCUAGUUCAAUUUUAGCGUUCUGAAUUUCUAAGAGAAGGCUAGAGAGAAGCAAGAGCUAGCAACAAGAAGUAGAGAUCUCCGAUCGAUGGCGCCUAUCCCCACAGCACUUGAAGAUCCGCUGCACGAUCGAGCUGCUAAAACACCCCUUCUAGGAAGGAUAUGAAAGCUUACUCUCAAAUAACUUUGCCUUGAAUAGUUUUUAGCUUUUUUAUUCUGUUUCGAUUGCAUGACAAGAUCGCUGUUUCAGUCAAUGAAAUUGAUUUUAUUAUAUUUUCCAUA